AUUGAACGCUGGCGGCAUGCUUUACACAUGCAAGUCGAACGGUAACAGGCCUUCCGGCGCUGACGAGUGUCGAACGGGUGAGUAAUGCAUCGGAACGUAUCCAGUGGCGGGGGAUAACGCAGCGCAAGCUGUGCUAAUACCUCAUGCGAUCUGAGGAUGUGAGCGGGGGACCGCGCAGCAAUGUUUCGCUCCUCCUCUCUGUAGUGGCUGAUGCCGGAUUAGCUAGUUGGUUGGGUAAAGGCCUACCAAGGCGACGAUCCGUAGCUGGACUGAGAGGACGACCAGCCACACUGGGACUGAGACACGGCCCAGACUCCUACGGGAGGCAGCAGUGGGGAAUUUUGGGCAAUGGGCGCAAGCCUGAUCCAGCAAUGCCGCGUGAGGGAAGAAGGCCUUCGGAUUGCAAACCGCUUUUGGCAGGGACGAAAAGGUGUCCACUAAUACCGGGCGCUAAUGACGGUACCUGCAGAAUAAGCAACGGCUAACUACGUG
rnacentral:rRNA from 1 species